GACGUAGGGCGCGAGCGUUGUCCGGAUUUAUUGGGCGUAAAGAGCUCGUAGGCGGCUUGUCGCGUCGAAUGUGAAAACUCGGGGCUCAACUCCGAGCUUGCAUUCGAUACGGGCAGGCUAGAGUUCGGUAGGGGAGACUGGAAUUCCUGGUGUAGCGGUGAAAUGCGCAGAUAUCAGGAGGAACACCGGUGGCGAAGGCGGGAUCCUGGGCCAGUACUGACGCUGAGGAGCGAAAGCGUGGGGAGCAAACAGG
rnacentral:rRNA from 1 species